rnacentral:tRNA from 1 species
GGGCCUUUAGCGCAAUCGGUUAGAGCUACUGCCUCAUAAGCAGUUGGUUGCGGGUUCGAGUCCCGCAGGGCCCA